GAUUGAUCCUAAAAUAAUUUUGAGUUAAAAUAUCACAAGUGCUUGGGGUUUUCUAUUAACCCAAGCACUUAAUGGUAUAUUUUGCAAGUGCUUGGGGUUUAUUAUUCACCCCAAGCCCUUGAACCUCCCUUCUCAAUGUUUUCAUUAGUUCAAUUAGGUUAAUUUGCAAAGUCUCCUACCUCUGUUUGACCCCGCCUCUUCUCCCUGUUGUUUCCCCACCAUCAAUACGCCAAACUCACCACCGUUGUCCGUGUUUCCAUCUCCUCUCCUCUCCUCUCCUGGACUGCUACUCCUUUCCUGCGGCGUCGUCUUCUCUCCUCUCUUGUGCUACCAUCUCAUCUACUGUCGAUGCUCCUCCUCUCAUCGCCGUCACACGGUCGAGGAAGACCUGUGUUGGUUCUGCAGUUGCUGUUAGUUUAUCUGAAUUUAUGAGAAAGGUAAGAAUUUCUUCGUUGAGUAUGUGGUGAUAGGUAUUUUGCGUUUUCGGUUUUUGUUGAGGUUCAGUGUUUGUCCAAUGCGCUUGAUUGCUUGUAAUAUGUGAUUUUUUUCUGUAAAUUAGUCCUUAAUGCAUAUGCUUAUGACUUGCUGGUUAUAUUUGCGUGUUUUCGAGCUUGUUAUGAGGUUCCAACAAGCAAUAUAAUCAAUCCACCAUUGUUGUGCCAAGAUAAUUAAAGGGAUGUUGGUAAUAUUGUAGUAUAGGUGAUAUGGAAAGACACAUAUAGGCCGUUAUAUAAAAACAAGGAACUAAGACCUACCAAAAACAAUUAAGUAGAAGUGGUUGGAAGUAACGAGAUGGGUAAGAGCAUAGCAGAUGCCAAUAUACCGAAAAUGACCCGUGUAAGUAAUAACUGAAAAUUUUAGCUAUUUUUGUGUUUGGUUUCAAUUAGUUUGUUUUUGUAGUGUAGAAGAUAACUACUAUCAAUUACUGAAAAUUGGACCGAAGUGAUUAUGAUUUCUUAUGGUCUUGAGGAAUUAUGAUUCGAGUAUUAUCCUUUAAGUAAGGUUCCUCGUAAAUUUAGCUCCUAUAUCUAUUUUUAUUUGUUAUACUAGUGAUCCAAUGGCCUUAAGUCUAAACACACCUCCGGUGGUGUCGGAGAUGAAGAUAUCUUCGGAUGACAAGUGAUCAAUGGACUUAAAACAUUGGGGUUGUUCUAGGAAAAAUAGUAGGUAUUGUCGUGUUGAUCUUUAAUGUCUUGCAUGUUCCUGGUGUUCGGACUUCAAUGCUGAUCUGCAAAGUUUGCUUGCAUGUUCCAUCUUGUUUUAAUAUGUGAAGAUUGUUGCAUAUUAGAUAGGUCUAUAAAAGAAUGGAAUAUAAAAAGUUACAUCUUAUCUGUUGAUCUGGUAUAUUCUGGUCCUGUGGAUUGCUUUCAUGUAUUCGUACAUGAUUGCCAUAUUAUGUUGCUGUUAAAUUUUUGACUUUUUGAGAUCUGAAUUAUUCUAUUUAAUUCUUUAUCUAUCUCCCAUGUUCUUAGCUAAUAGCUUACCCAGUAUAUGGUCCUCGCACUUAUGGUUUUCUAACAAGAGAUUCCCCUUUCUUAACCCCUUACUAACUGAAGAAAAAAAGAGUUAGGUAUGAAACAGAUGACCAAGGUUUCUACUUGCUAGUAGUAGCACUAGUUGUGAAAGUCACUAGAUAAGCUAAUGUUUUCUGUGGUCUCUUCUUGAAGCAGAAUGAACUUUGCUCUAAGCAGAACACUGAAGGUUCCUUUUUACAUCUAAAUCUGUUGCUCUACGCUUUCUGAAUGGUCAUCAAGAUGCAAAAAGAACUUUUAGAGACAAAAUCUUUAGGACAAAAAUGGGUAACCAAUGAAGGAAGCUUCAAGAUGCCAAGGCAUAUGGAUAAUCUGUAUAUUUUCUUGAGUUAUAUGUUCUUUGUUAACCUAACCUUAUUGUUUCUUUUGUUAUAUAUUCACAGAUUUAAUAUAACAAUAGACUACAGGUGAUAGGGUCAUUGGUUGCCUUCUUUUAAGGGUUUAUGCUCAACACUUACUCAGCUGAAGGUCUGGAUUAUCACACUUAAUUACCACGGGUGAUGGUAUGUUAUUAGGUUGCAUAUAUUUCAACAUCUGAUGAUGGGCGAGGUCAGCGUUAAAGCAAUUUUGAUGAUUAGAAUUUGCAGUCUAUGCUUUCUCCAGUUGUGAAUUUACUCAUUCUCAAUCUGGUACCUUGAUGCUGUCACUUCAGUUUUUAUACAGUUUUUUUUGUUUGGACUCUGACUGCAGUAUGUUGUGUUCGGAUUCUUCUCCUGUUUAAUCAACAUCAACAGGGUGUUGUUUUUCGGAACUCCAAUUGAUCCUUGUGAUUACGUACUUAAUUAAAUGCCUGUGAAAGUUGUCGGGCUCUGCCAGUUUUCUCUCUGUAUAUAGUUUGUAAAAAUGCUCGUGUUAGUUCUCUAUGUUAACUUAUAUUGUUAUACAAUAUUAAAUGUUGAAUUCCUUACUUGUAAAUUUUGUGAAUUACAAUUAAAUAAAGUUUACUUUAUAGUCAA